GGAUUAGAUACCCUGGUAGUCCCAGCUGUAAACGAUGGAUACUAGACGUAGGAACUGGAUUGACGGUUUCUGUGUCGCAGCUAACGCGUUAAGUAUCCCGCCUGGGGAGUACGGUCGCAGGACUAAAACUCAAAGGAAUUGACGGGACCCCGCACAAGCGGCGGAGCAUGUGGUUUAAUUCGAUGAUACGCGAGGAACCUUACCAGGACUUAAAUGUAAGUUGCAUGAUUCAGAAAUGAAUCUUUCUUCGGACUACUUACAAGGUGCUGCAUGGUUGUCGUCAGCUCGUGCCG
rnacentral:rRNA from 1 species